ACCUGUGGUUUCACUUUUAAAUUACAGGAUUCAUCUUCCCCUUCAGGAAGUCAGCAGAGUGGGCCGAGCUCAUCAUACUCUGGAGGCAGACAGCCUGGUGGACAGGGUGGAUGCUAUUGCCCUGGCGGGUUUUCUGGUUCUUCUUAUGGUGGACAAGGCAGCCAGUAUGGUGGUGGACAUGGUAGCCAGUAUGGUAGCAGCAGCCAGUAUGGUGGCAGCAGCCAGUAUGGUGGUGGACGAGGAAGCCAGUAUGGUGGUGGAGAAGGAAGCUCAUAUGGUGGCAGCAGCCAAUAUGGUGGUGGACGAGGAAGCCAGUCUGGUAGUAGCAGCCAAUAUGGUGGUGGACAAGUAAGCCCGUAUGGUGGCAGCAGCCAAUAUGGUGGUGGACGAGGAAGCCAAUAUGGU